CGUCUUCUCAUCUUUCUCCUCAUACAAAAACGUUUCCCGUUUCUUCAGUCGAGAUUGUCUUCUCAUCUCCCGUACUUCCUCCAUCUUUCAUGAUUAUAUAUGUCAAAGUCACCAACAAUAGAUCAAUCCAAUUGUUUGUUUUAAUUUCAUCACCUACACUUCAAUUCGAAAUACAAUUUCCAGUUUCAAAGUUACAUCGACUUGGGAGUACUCCGGGUAUCAUUGUAAAAUGCCUCUAAUCAUGUUUUCGGAUUUCGCCUAACCAUGUAUCAGAUCCCUGUUUGCUUCAUCAUCCCUUAAAUCAGAGAAAUAUGAGUCGUACCAUGGUGAACAAGGCCUUAAAGGCUAACCAAAUCAGAACCGGAGCUGAACGCAAGAGAUCUUCUGUGGCAUGUUUAGCCUUAGGUAUGUCCUUGAAGACGACAGUUCCCACACGAACACAACGGCAACCCAAACUCAGAAGAAGUUUCUGUCGAGUUUCUCAUUCCUGGUUAAAAAAAAAACUGGUGAGAUUUUCAGUUGAUCAUCUGAGGUAUGGAUACACAAACAUGAUGCAAGAGAAAGGCAUAAGGAGCACAUGUAUUAAUACAUAUUUCUACUCAGUUCCACUUAAUUACCAGAAGGAUGGUUUCAAACUUCAACCGACUGUACCAUAUCUCAAAUCCGUUUUGAAUCGGUGUAUCUAAAGUUUAUGUAAAUCGACGAUUUGUUUCCAGGCCUAUAUGUUGGUGCAUUCGGACCUAAAGGCACUGAGAUAGUACAACUUCAUUGUCAGUAUGGACACUAAAGUGAUGUAGAGGAAAGCAACUCCUCAAAUAUUGAGUUCUUUGAAUAUACUGAUGCUGUGAAGUUACAUGGGAUCCAAAUAUGUCGGCUGGCCAGAAAAUAUUUUGUGCAAGAGUUGGAAGGGAAGUCGUGUGAGGAAUCGUGGAUUCUAUAGGAAAUGGUGUGCUUUGGAGAUGCAUGUGUUGGAGGGCCGCUUUUAAAACUCAAUGGAAUGGUGAGACAAUAUAGACAACCCGUCAGUUAUUUGUCCCGGAAUGCGACCAUACGGGAUAGGUGGGGUUCUAAAUAACACAUGUGUUGGACACAAGAACUUAAUGAGGCUUUUGUUGACGCUGUGCCUAAUCAGCUUGGCGGUAGUCAACUGGCGCUUACCAUUCUCUUGGACUUCUUCUUUCAACCAUAGGAGCCACGCCUUAGACUGUUCUGAAUAACAUAGGUUUUGUUCUUAUCCUGACUAUUUAUUUCGUUUUCUUGCAAUUCAUGUUGUUACAGUUAUCUCCUUUUGUAUUUUCUUACGGAGAGAAAUACAGAAAGCAAAAGCAUAAGCAGGAGACUUUGGAAGCUACAGCAUAUACUUUCACAAAUACUUUUGUGCUUUCCUGAGCUAUAAACCACAUAUGGGUCUUGAAAAUUAAUCAUUCCUUAGAGAGGCUAAUGUCUCUAAGGCAACAGGUUACAAAGGAACCCAUAUUUUUGAUAACUGUGUUUCUUUCUUCACAGGGGAACCUCGAGAGAAGAAGAUGACAUCAACGGAAGAAAUCAAAUAUCUUGACAUGUUAACGAGCAUUGAGAUCGUAGAAUCUUUAAGGUUACAAACUGAAGUUCAGAAACACCUCCAUCUCCAGCUUGAGACAAGCAAUUCUCUGUUCGGGAGACUUCAUUGCGGUCAGGUGCGAGGGACCAGUUUAUCAUAGAGAAAGCAUAGCACGCAGAUUGAGGUUGACUCAGUCAUGGCAAUCUAAGAUAUUGAGGUUUUGAUAUUUUUAAGGCACGUGUUUUACUUUUCGUUAUACCAGAAAUUUUGGUCAUGCUGAACCACUCUCCUUAAAUGAUCGACUCAUAUAAAUAAUAUAUAUUAAAAAAAAAUUGAUGCA